rnacentral:tRNA from 1 species
GUUAGUGUGGCAGAAUCCGGCUAAUGCGAAAGGCCUAAGCCCUUGCUACAGAGGUUCAAGUCCUCUCCCUAACU